GACAGAGGAGCCAAGCGUUGUCCGGACUGACUGGGCGUAAAGCGCCCGCAGGCGGCCGUGCACGUGGGGUGUGAAAGCGCUCGGCUUAACUGAGCGAGGCCAUCCCAUACGGCGCGGCUCGAGCCGUCCAGAGGCCGGUGGAAUUGCCGGUGUAGUGGUGAAAUGCGUAGAGAUCAUGAGGAAGACCAGUGGCGAAGGCGGGUCUCUGGACGGCAACUGACGCUGAGGCACGAAAGCGUGGGGAGCAAACAGG
rnacentral:rRNA from 1 species